rnacentral:tRNA from 1 species
GCCCGGGUAGCCCAACGGAAGAGGCGUCUGGUUCAGGGCCAGAAGGUUGGAGGUUCGAAUCCUCUGCCGGGUA